GACGAACGCUGGCGGCGUGCUUAACACAUGCAAGUCUAACGGAAAGGCCCUGCUUUUGUGGGGUGCUCGAGUGGCGAACGGGUGAGUAACACGUGAGUAACCUGCCCUUGACUUUGGGAUAACUUCAGGAAACUGGGGCUAAUACCGGAUAGGAGCUCCUGCUGCAUGGUGGGGGUUGGAAAGUUUCGGCGGUUGGGGAUGGACUCGCGGCUUAUCAGCUUGUUGGUGGGGUAGUGGCUUACCAAGGCUUUGACGGGUAGCCGGCCUGAGAGGGUGACCGGCCACAUUGGGACUAGAUACGGCCCAGACUCCUACGGGAGGCAGCAGUGGGGAAUAUUGCACAAUGGGCGGAAGCCUGAUGCAGCAACGCCGCGUGCGGGAUGACGGCCUUCGGGUUGUAAACCGCUUUCGCCUGUGACGAAGCGUGAGUGACGGUAAUGGGUAAAGAAGCACCGGCUAACUACGUG
rnacentral:rRNA from 1 species